GGAAAUUUUAGAUUGUCUUUUUUGUCAAGAGUUCUACCGACAUCCGAAAUCAGUUACUUCGAAUGAUGCACGGAGAAAACUAUUUUACAAAAGUUGCUGUGCUAGCACAACACAAUGUUAUCAAUUACGGAUAUAUAAAUGAAGACUGCACUAUGGUAAUUAAAAUCUAAAUUGAGUAUAAGUCGUAUGAAGUGAUAUAAUAAGAAUAAACCACAAAUGGCUCUAUCGAUCGAAAAACGAACAAUUAAUGUUGUUUGAUAACGAAAAUAAUAGAAUAAUAUAAAAAAACUGUACAAAUGAUAAGUAUCAUUCAAAUUAUAUGAUGAAAACAAAUUUAAUGCCUGAUUUAUAAAAAUAAAGGAAUGAUUCAACGUACAUUGAGUUCUUUGUUAUGUGAUUAUUAACUAUCAGUAUAGUUUUUUUUUUACAAAGUUGUAUGAAUUUAGAUUCAAGAUUAUCGUAGAAUUUUUCUACCAGCUUUUAGAAGGUUUAAAGCAAGGUCAUACAAAUAUUCGCACUACUCUUCUUCCAUGUUUCCGGUGUCAAAAUUGAGUUAAGUAAUAUGUAUCGAAGGUGGUUGGCUCUGUAAAAGUGUAUGACGACGAUGAAAGUUCCUUUUAGUAGGCCACUUUCAAGACGAGGUUGAUCCACUUUCAAACCAUUUUUUAUCUUAAAUAUCAGGUCUCAAUAGACCUAUGGAAUGUCACGUCUGGAAUAACAUAAAAAUAUGAAAGCACAAUUGAAUAAGUGACCGAAACUUGUGCCAUGAACGAACCGGAUUUUGAAUUGGAGGUAUUUGUAUUUGUUCAUGUGUAAUAUUAUGACAACCUGUUAUACUCGCGUUUGAAAUUAUUUAGUACACUGAAAGCAUAACAGAAGGUUAGUCACACCAAUGUAUUUAUCAGCCUUGCACCACUUCAGACAUUAUGUUCGUGCCACUUUUUCAUGUUCAAUCAUUUUUCUUUCCUCCUUGCUUGAAAUACCGUCUUAUCCAUUAUGAAAAUGAUUGUUAGCUCUUGCUUAUUAUCACCAGCAUUUUGCGUAUAACUGCUACAAUUAUGCUCAACAACUCAACUAUAAUUAAAAUUCAUGUGAUAGCACCAGAAAGUGUUGUUGAAUAUAUAUGGCAGCACAUCCAGCAUGGGCACGUGGAAUUCUACUUGAGCUGACAAAGCCAUUAGAUGUAAAAAUUGAAAAUGAAGAAGUAAGAGGUCCUUAAAAAAAAACAAAAAAUAAAUGCUUUCGCACAUUUAAUAAAAUAAAUUCAUGGUACUAGACAAAAACGUGAAUUUCUUGUUAAUGAAUAUAGUAAGUUUCAAUAAGUAACAGAUAAAGAUAUAAAAAAACAAAAAGAUAAAAUUAAAAAAGAGCUUAAAAAUAAAAAAAAUUAAUCAUCGUUAAUAACACAAUUCACACAAAAAAUUAGAACAGAAGGAGUAAAGAAAAAAUUGCCGAAAACUUGCGAGUGUCCUAAUGGUGAUAAUCGCGAAGGUGCUGAUGGUACAAUAAAAAGAUUAACUCGUAGUUAGAGUGAAAGAUAUGUAGCAAUUUGUAAAGAACAAGAAAUGAAAGAACGUGAAUUACAAGAAAAAUAUAAUGACACUGUAUUUACUCUUGUUAAAAAAGUUAUAAAAAAAUCACAGACAAAUCAAUUAGAAACACUUAGAGUUUUGUUGGAAAGAGAAACAAAUGCUGCUAUAAAAAGACUUCAAACUCUUAGACAUAGCAAGGUAAAAUAAUAAGCAGAAGUACACAAAGAAAAAGCAGAAUUAGAUCGUAUGAAACUUAAAGUUGCUAAAAUAACGGUUGAAAAAAGAGUCAAUGAAUGCACUAGAUUAACGGAAAUAUAUGAAAAAAAAAUCCGAGUUAGAAAUUGUGCAUGAAAAAGUACGUUAAAAAUUCGAAGAAGAAAAAAAUAAUGGUACAUCAGCAUUAAAAGCAGAGUAUACUAGUCGAUGUCUUCCAGUAUUACCAUCAGGAAAAAAUGAAUGAUGAUGUUAAAUUAAUUGAAUCAAGUAUUAAUAGUAAAAUAAGUGGAAUUGAGAAACGUAUACCAGGGCCAGAUACAGGUUUAAUGCAUUAAAGAAAUUGUUGAUAUGUGUCAGAAAAAAAUGACAAAACAAUAUCUUGAUAAAGAAAUAAAUUAUUUAAACCAACAUCACCAUUUAUUAAAACAACAAUUUCAUUAGACAGACCACCAAAAAGAGCGACAUUUAAUUUAGUACCAAGACGUGAGCUGAUUUUACCAGCAUCAAAUUUCUCAUAAUUUCACCAUCAAAUCAUUCAUAUUGUCUAACAGAUUUCUUAUGUGACAAUGUCAACAAAAAAAUUACAAAACGAAACUUUAAAUUUAUACAGACACUGAUGAUUUAAAAUUGAGUGUAAAAUUUGAUGAUAAAGUGUAAAAGAUAAUUUAAAUAACCAUGAUAAUGAUGAUGAAAUAUCAUUAUUCGGUGCCGAAUAUCAAUAGCAACAAUAUCAAACCAUUCAAAUGACGUUGUUAAAAAUUUGGAGCUGUUUAUUUGGUUAAAGAAAAAAUGUCACGUCAAUGUUUUCUUAUGAAAAAAAUAAUUAGAAAUAAUUUAAUUUCGAGAAAUCAAGUUGAUCAAAUAUUUUCUGAACGUGAUAUUAUGAGUUUUACUGAUAAUUCAUUUGUCGUAUCAAUGUAUUGAUAAUUUAUUAAUAUUAGCCAUAUUAAAUCAACUGAUUUUGGUUCAAGUAAAAUGGGUCAAAUGUCAUUGGCAACAAAAUCAUAUGAAAGAUAUAUUGAUCGUGAUACAACAGAAAUUUCUGAUGAACAAGUAUUUAGUACACCAGAAUGUAUUGCACCAAAAAUUACGUCAAGGUUAUAGUAAACCAGGUAGUUGGUGGUCAAUGGGAAUUGUUUUGUAUAAAUUGUUAAUUGGUUGUGUACUAUUUCUUGGUAGUACACCUUAGGAAUUAACUGCACAUACUGUUAAUGAUAAUAUUGAGGGGCUAGAUGAAGCAGAUUGGCCAGUACAACCAUAAGCUAAAGAUAUUAUGAUUAAAUCUCAUGAUUCACAAUUAUUUCGUUGUUUUUCAUCAUAUUGACCACAAUCAAGAGAAAUAUCACAAACAAGACCAUUAAAUUUUAAUGAACAUGAUAAUAAUAAUUCAGCUACUAAAAAAUUAUUAUUUAAUAAUAAACUUGAACAUAAUGAAGAUUAAGUGAAUGAUUUAU